rnacentral:lncRNA from 10 species
AAAAAAAGCAAAACUGUAUAAUCAUGUCAAUAGAUGCAAACUAGAGAAGAAAAAAACUAUUAGCAAACUCCGUAUAGAAGGAAGCUUCUUCCUUCACCUGAUAAAAAGUAUUGAUAACCCCACUAUACAUUUUGAGUGGUCUCCAGUCACAACCAACUAUACUUCACUAGUUUUAACUCCUAAGCUUUCCAUAAAUCCUAGAUUCUGUCUGACACUAAAUGAAGAUCUUCAUGUCAUUUUUUCAAAUAGGAAAAAAUAUGUUCUAAAUAUCUCAGAUUUUCUUUACUAUUCUAUUAUGUAUGUAUCAUCUGUGAAUCUAAUUUUCAUAAAAAAUUUGUUCAGUCUAUAUCCCAUCUUAUGGUACUAAUUUCCACUAACUUACUCUCUAAUAUUAUAUAGAUAAUUAAGAUAUUUAUCUUAAACUGACUUUUAUAAAAUUCCUAGAAGCACCCAUACUCUGCCCACAAUUCCAGCAUGAUGGAAUUUGAGUAAUUCAUCCAAGGUCCCAUUUUAGAACCUCAAUUACAUCUUCCUCCUCCACUUCCUCCUUAGUAUUAAAAGCCCCAAGGAAUAAAUAUUUAUUAGUAUACUGUUACGUAGCCAGACACUUCAUUAUUUUUAUUUAACAGAACAUAUAGUAUUUAUCUUGGGUGUGUAUAAGGUAUGAUUUUGAAUAAUGGCAAGAUAACUUACUAUUCCCAUACUCUCAAAAAAUGUCUAGCAUACUGUGGAUCUUCUUAGCACAGUAUCCAUAAUCAUCUAUGAUAGCUUAUAGAUUCUUUUCCUGACUUUAACUAAAUUCAAGACUCCUCAGUUAAUAAUUAUAAUUCAUGUGAUUUUUUCCCCCAAAUAUACCACUGAAAACUAUCUCACAUGAGUUCACUCAGUUUUUUGCUCACUCAUUAUCUGCAGUUAGGUUUUUUUCCUGGGAUAUUUCACUAUCCAAAAGAGCUAAAAAUUGACUACAUACACCUUCUUUUACACCAUUUAUUAAAAUGUGAAAUUAAAUUGGCCCCAACUUGGGGACCCACAUAAUACACUUUUUCCUCUAAAGAGUGACAGUUCACAACUGAUGUUUACUUACUAAAUCAAUGUGAUUCCAUGAAUAAACAUUUCUCCUCCAUCCUAUGGUAACACAAAAGAUUUUAUUCCUUUCAGAUUAGAACCUUGAAAGAUUUUGUAAAGUUUACAUAAAUUAUUUUCACUGUUUCUCUUCAACAUACUCCAUAAUCCCCUAAAUAACUCCAGUAUACCAAUCAUUCAGGUUUUUGGUUUACAAAACCAAAUUCAAUAAUUUGUUUUAUUCUAAACUCCUGAGUGUUAAAAAUAUAGCAAGACAAGCUGACCCAUAGUUAUCUGUAAGUCCUCUACAAACGUUCUUAUAAUGGGACAUCGUCUUAGUCCAUUUUGUGUUGCUAUAACAAAAUACCACAGACUCAGUAAUUUAUAAAGCAAUUUGUUUUUCACAGUUCUGGAAGCAGGGAAGUCCAAUAUCAAGAUGCUUGGCAACUGAUGAUGGCCUCUGUGCCAUGGCAGCAGGUGGAAGGACAAGAGAGCAUGAGAGAGCAAGAGACAGCUAAACUCACUUUUACUCCUUAACAGAGAUUUAUACCCUCCUGUGCUGGCCUGCAAAAGGACAAAUUCUUCUAAUAAACACUGAGGAAAGGACAGUAACGCUUCAACUUUCUACAAAUUAGCCUGUGACAGACAGAUGGUGGCUCCCAACACGACUGCAAUCUCUUAUCCCACAUGCUCCUCUUAUAAUGUGUCUUCCAAGUACAGCUGGAAUCAAUGCUUCCUCCCUGCUGAAUUCCUCUGAAGUACAGCUGGAAUCAAGGCUUCCUCUCUGAUGAAUCUGGAUGGGGGAUAGAGGGGGAGGGCGGGGGGGCAGCUUGGGACUAAGGGCAUAUGUGAUCCUAUGUAACUUUUGAGGUUAAGUCAUAAAGGGAACACAGCUUCCUUGGAAUUUUCAUCCACUGAACUUCUGCCGCCAUGCUGUGAGGAAGUCCAAGCAGGUACAAGGAGAGUCCAAUUUGUAGAUAUUCUAGCCUGCAACCUAGCCUACAUCCCAGCCAACAGCCAGUAGGAAAGGCCAGGCAUGCAGGUGAGCAAGGCUUCAGCUGAUUCCAGCUCCCCAGUCAUAGACUCAGCCCUGGCUUUGCGUCUUCCUAGCUGAGGUGCCAGACAUCAUGGGGCAGAUAAGCUGUGUCAAUCAUACCUUUUAUGAUUCUGAGCCACAACAUUUGUGAGCAUAACGCCACCAAGUUUGGGAUGGUAUAUAAUGCAGCAAUAGUAAAUAGAACUCCCUGAUUCAGAACUCAAGGAAAAAACUGAAAAGGAAGCAAAGAAUUUAAGGCUGCUUUCCCUAUAUUCAAAAUAAAUAUUCCACAUUCUGUGCACUAAAGAUCACUAGCUUUAUUGAUAAGUCUCUCAAAUUAUCAUGCAGCUCUUAUUAAAGGUAUAUGUAAAAUGAGGAAAAAUAGAAACAUACUAUAAUAUUUUCUGUCUUCAUCCUAUGCAUAGGCCUCUUUAGGAUUCCUUUUCCCUGAUGAAAUCUCAUCUAGGCCGGUCUUUAAGGCUCAAAUCAAACACUACAGCAGCUCUGAGGCCUUCCUUCACCUUGCAAAAUGCAGUUUGCUCACGUAACAUAUCUGUAUAGCCCUCCACUCUAAUACAAUUUUUUAUUCUAAUGUAUAUAUUAUACAAUAAUUAUUUGUCUACAUGGCUUUUGCCUUCCCUAAGCGUAAGGUCUUCGAGGAUAGGAACAUUUCU